AACGAACGCUGGCGGCAUGCCUAACACAUGCAAGUCGAACGAGACCUUCGGGUCUUGUGGCGCACGGGUGCGUACCGCGUGGGAACCUGCCCUUGGGUUCGGUAUAACUCCCCGAAAGGGGUGCUAAUACCGGUUAGUGUCUUCGCACCAAAGAGUUUUCGCUUUUGGAUGGGCCCGCGUUGGAUUCGCUAGUUGGUAGGGUAAAAGCCUGCCAAGGCGACGUUCCAUGGCUGGUCGGAGAGGAGGCGCAGCCACACUGGAGCUGAGACACGGCCCAGACUCCGACGGGGAGCAGCAGUGGGGAAUAUUGGACAAGGAGCGAAGGCCUAGUCCAGCAAUGCGGGGGAUGUGAUGAAGGCCUUAGUGUUGUAAAGCUCUUUUUGCCGGGAUGAUAAUGACGGUACCGGGAGAAGAAGCACCGGCUAACUCCGUG
rnacentral:rRNA from 1 species